GAUGAAGAACGUAGCGAAAUGCGAUAGGUAAUGUGAAUUGCAGAAUUCAGUGAAUCAUCGAAUCUUUGAACGCACAUUGCGCUCCUUGGUAUUCCGAGGGGCAUGCCUGUUCGAGCGUCAUUAUAACCCCUCAAGCUCAGCUUGGUGUUGGGGCCUGCUGCACUGGCAGCCCUUAAAAUCAGUGGCGGCGCCAUCUGGCUCUAAGCGUAGUAAUUCUUCUCGCUAUGGAGUCCUGGUGGAUGCUUGCCAUCAACCCCCAAUUUUUCUAUGGUUGACCUCGGAUCAGGUAGGGAUACCCGCUGAACUUAAGCAUAUCAAUAAGCGGAGGA
rnacentral:misc_RNA from 1 species